UACAGAGGUCUCAAGCGUUGUUCGGAUUCAUUGGGCGUAAAGGGUGCGUAGGUGGCGCGGUAAGUCGGGUGUGAAAUUUCGGAGCUUAACUCCGAAACUGCAUUCGAUACUGCCGGGCUUGAGGACUGGAGAGGAGACUGGAAUUUAACGGUGUAGCAGUGAAAUGCGUAGAGAUCGUGAAGGAAGACCAGUGGCGAAGGCGGGUCUCUGG
rnacentral:rRNA from 1 species